rnacentral:rRNA from 1 species
CAAUAGCGUAUAUUAAAGCUGUUGCGGUUAAAAAGCUCGUAGUUGGAUUUCUGUCAAGGACAACUGGUCCGCCCUCCGGGUGAGCACAUAGUUUGGUCUUGACGUCUUGCUGGAAGCUGUUGCUGCACUUGGCUGUGUGGCGCAGUGUUCAGCACUUUCACUUUGAGGAAAUUGGAGUGUUUCAAGCAGGCACAUGCCUUUGGACACAGUAGCAUGGAAUAAUUAGAUUGGGCUUUUGCUCCAAUUUGUCGGUUUCUGGAGCUGAGGUGAGUAUUAAUGGGGAUUGUUGGGGGCAUCCGAAUUUAGCCGUCAGAGGUGAAAUUCUUGGAUCUGCUAAAGACGGACAACUGCGAAAGCGUUUGCCCAGGAUGUUUUCAUUGA